rnacentral:rRNA from 1 species
AACGAACGCUGGCGGCAGGCCUAACACAUGCAAGUCGAGCGCCCCGCAAGGGGAGCGGCGGACGGGUGAGUAACGCGUGGGAACGUGCCCCUUUCUACGGAAUAGCCUCGGGAAACUGGGAGUAAUACCGUAUAAGCCCUACGGGGGAAAGAUUUAUCGGGAAGGGAUCGGCCCGCGUUGGAUUAGGUAGUUGGUGGGGUAAUGGCCUACCAAGCCGACGAUCCAUAGCUGGUUUGAGAGGAUGAUCAGCCACACUGGGACUGAGACACGGCCCAGACUCCUACGGGAGGCAGCAGUGGGGAAUCUUAGACAAUGGGCGCAAGCCUGAUCUAGCCAUGCCGCGUGAGCGAUGAAGGCCUUAGGGUUGUAAAGCUCUUUCAGUGGGGAAGAUAAUGACUGUACCCACAGAAGAAGCCCCGGCUAACUCCGUGCCAGCAGCCGCGGUAAU